rnacentral:rRNA from 1 species
AUUGAACGCUGGCGGCAGGCCUAACACAUGCAAGUCGAGAGGAGAGGCGGACGGGUGAGUAAUGCCUAGGAAUCUGCCUGGUAGUGGGGGAUAACGUCCGGAAACGGGCGCUAAUACAGAAUACUAUCAGCUGAGACUAGGUCGGAUUAGCUAGUUGGUGGGGUAAAGGCCGACCAAGGCGAAGAUCCGUAACUGGUCUGAGAGGAUGAUCAGUCAAACGGGAACUGAGACACGGUCCAGACUCCUACGGGAGGCAGCAGUGGGGAAUAUUGGACAAUGGGCGAAAGCCUGAUCCAGCCAUGCCGCGUGUGUGAAGAAGGUCUUCGGAUUGUAAAGCACUUUAAGUUGGGAGGCGUUACCAACAGAAUAAGCACCGGCUAACUUCGUGCCAGCAGCCGCGGUAAUUC